CAGCCGCCGCGGUAAUACGAAGGGUGCAAGCGUUAAUCGGAAUUACUGGGCGUAAAGCGUGCGUAGGCGGUGAGUUAAGUCUGCUGUGAAAUCCCCGGGCUCAACCUGGGAAUGGCAGUGGAUACUGGCUCGCUAGAGUGUGUCAGAGGAUGGUGGAAUUCCCGGUGUAGCGGUGAAAUGCGUAGAGAUCGGGAGGAACAUCAGUGGCGAAGGCGGCCAUCUGGGACAACACUGACGCUGAGGCACGAAAGCGUGGGGAGCAAACAGGAUUAGAUACCCCAGUCCCUGUCUCUUAUACACA
rnacentral:rRNA from 1 species